GGCCCCGUAGCUCAGCCGGAUAGAGCAGCAGAUUCCUAAUCUGGAGGUCGCAGGUUCAAGUCCUGCCGGGGUCGCCA
rnacentral:tRNA from 1 species